rnacentral:lncRNA from 1 species
GUGGUUUCUGUUGAGAAUUCUUUGGCCAAUGGGAGAAGAGAAUCUAGAAGUCUUUCUGUCAAAAAUCACAGAUGUACAAAGGUGAAUGAAUCAGUUACAGGUGCAGCUGUGGAUCACCGAUGCUCCAAAGAGCAGCAGCCUAAACCAGACUGGGUUCCUUUUGGUAAGAGUCUGGGCUGGAUGCUUUGAUGGGCCAUUCAGUCACCAGGCAAGUGGUUUCUAUGGAAAAAUAGUUAUUUUGAAAAUGUAGAAGGUCCCUAACCCACUGCUUCCAGUCAGUUCCACGCACAAGAAAUCACAGCCCAGGGGUCCCAGAUAGUUACUCUGUACACCACCCAGGAAAAUGCUGCUUGUUCAGCUCAACUGCCGACUGCUGACCUCAGAGACGUGAAAAUGUGAAGUGAUUUGCAUCUUAGAGUCAAUGAGAUGCAAAAGGCCUAAGCCUAAGAAUUCCAGUCUUUAUGUACUGACCUCGUGCUCUGCCUGUCCCAGGCCUUCAAGGCCACCUUACCUAGUGGUGGCUUUUUUGAGUCAGUCUGGAGUGAUGGGCUGGGAUGGGAGACGAGUCCUUAUGUGGCCUUGGCUGUAACCUGAUCUGUGAGGCUUUCUGCCCAGAAUGCCUGGGAGGUUCUGGAGAAGGCCCUGGGCCGCACUUGCAUCUGGUGCAACCCCGACUGCUCCCCCAAACCAGAGUUUUUGUUUUUGUUUUUUUGGUACUGGAGAUUGAACCCAGAGGCACUAUCCCACUGAGCUACAUCC